CUCUCUUCUUCAGCGUCCCAUCUCUUCUCACUAGUUUGAAUUAAUAUGUUGAAAGUUGGUCUUGUAAUAUCUGAGGCCGAAUGCAAAGAUGAAGAUGAAGACCGUGCCUGUAUCAUAGGGCCUCAAUUAAUCGAAUCAAUGAUUUACCAGAGGUAGAUCUCUUUCUGAAACAAUCUCUUGCCAACAAACUUUUUGAAUAUAUAAAAUGUGUUGUUUAGGGUAUUCAUGAACUUGCAAUAUUGUACCUUGUUUCAGCGUCUCGAGAGAGAUCGAGAGAUCGCAUAACCGAAUACAAAUCAUUCUGCAUCCAAUAUGUAUCAAUGUUUUAUCCAUUUUUAUCUGAAUUCUAACCUUUUUUUUUCUUUUGUGAUCAGUUGUAUGUGUGGAUCCUAUAGAGAAAGAGGAGCACGGAGGAUAAUGUAGUGACCGGGUGAUAUUGAAGAAGAUGACACGAGAGGUUCAGGUGCAAUAUCCUACUGCUAACAAAGGCUGACAUAGCCUCUGGAGAUAUGUUUCUCCUUAAGAGUUAAGAGCAGGUUUUGGAAAAAUCUUUGUCUCUCCAGUAGACGGGUUCCAUAACGCAAGUAUGUCGAACCCAAGAAUGUCAUCUUUCUCGUCUAUCUCGAGACAUACCAGACCAUGGCAGGAACACAAGCUCAAGAAUGUCAUCCUUCUCGUUUAUCUCGAGAUGUACCAGACCAUGGCAGGAACCCAAGCUCCUCAUCCUUCUCGUCUAUCUCGAGACGUACCAGUCCAUGGCAGGAACUCAAGAACGACAAACUAGUGUUGGGCUCGAAUAUGUCUACACAACGUACCUCUUUGAGUUUUGCAAUGAAUCAAUGAUCUACCAAAAUUAUAGAUUUUUGGUUAGUUUUAGGCUGAUUGUAUGAGUCUUAGAUUGUUUUUUGUAAGUAUUUGAUUGUAAUCCGAUAAUUAAUCAAUGAAGUAUUGUUUUUAGGGCCAGUUUUGGUGCUUGACCCUUUGUAUUAUUGAAUAGCAAAUCAAUGAAUGUUUCAGCUACGUAUGUGUACAUACGUGGAAUAUCAUAAGCUACUUUUCAUAUUGUGGCAAGACAAGCUUGACAUCUAUUGCAAAGCUUAGUAGUGAAACUGUGUAAUUAGUUCUUUAGAGAGGUUUUAAAUUGUCUAACCUAGCUAGAGUAUUUCUGCGCGCAAGAUAGGUGCUCAGUUUGCUGCAUCUUUUUCAAAGGCAAAACCUACCUGUUGGAAAGUGAGAGAAGUGGUGCGUAGUACGUAUAUGUUGUUCGUAUACUUUUACUUUUCUAAACCAAUAUGCCUUUGCAUUACAUGGAUCAUCAAGAAUGACAUAUAAUUUGAUUCCACCAGUUUUGCUUUAUAAAAUCUAUCACCAUCUAAUC
rnacentral:lncRNA from 1 species